AUAGGGGAGCCGGAGGGAAACCGAGUCUUAACCGGGCGUUAAGUUGCAGGGUAUAGACCCGAAACCCGGUGAUCUAGCCAUGGGCAGGUUGAAGGUUGGGUAACACUAACUGGAGGACCGAACCGACUAAUGUUGAAAAAUUAGCGGAUGACCUGUGGCUGGGGGUGAAAGGCCAAUCAAACCGGGAGAUAGCUGGUUCUCCCCGAAAGCUAUUUAGGUAGCGCCUCGUGAAUUCAUCUCCGGGGGUAGAGCACUGUUUCGGCUAGGGGGCCAUCCCGGCUUACCAACCCGAUGCAAACUGCGAAUACCGGAGAAUGUUAUCACGGGAGACACACGGCGGGUGCUAACGUCCGUCGUGAAGAGGGAAACAACCCAGACCGCCAGCUAAGGUCCCAAAGUCAUGGUUAAGUGGGAAACGAUGUGGGAAGGCCCAGACAGCCAGGAUGUUGGCUUAGAAGCAGCCAUCAUUUAAAGAAAGCGUAAUAGCUCACUGGUCGAGUCGGCCUGCGCGGAAGAUGUAACGGGGCUAAACCAUGCACCGAAGCUGCGGCAGCGACGCUUAUGCGUUGUUGGGUAGGGGAGCGUUCUGUAAGCCUGUGAAGGUGUGUCGUGAGGC
rnacentral:rRNA from 1 species